GCCGGGCCCAGUGGCACGUGCCUGCAGUCCCAGCUACUCGGGAGACAGGUGGGAGGAUCGCUUGAGCCCAGGAGUUCUGGGCUGUAGUGCGCUAUGUGGAUUGGGUGUCCAUACUGAUGCUAAGUUCAGCAUCAAUAUGGUGACCUCCCAGGAGAGGGGGACCACCAGAUUGCCUAAGGAGGGGUGAACCGGCCCAGGUCGGAAACGGAGCAGGUCAAAACUCCUGUGCUGAUGAGUAGUGGGAUCACACCUGUGAAUAGCCACUGCCCUGCAGCCUGGGCCUGGGCAACAUAAGUGAGACCUGGUCUCU
rnacentral:SRP_RNA from 1 species